rnacentral:lncRNA from 9 species
CCAUCAUAAAGGGAAAUUUCAGGUCAAGUCUGAAGAAUGGGUAGUACAUAGCCACACAAAAAAAAGGGUAAAAUUUUCUUAGGCAGAGAAAUUGUAUAUGCAUCCAGCAUGAGGAAGCACGUGAUCAAGGAGGUUAAAUUGGUAAAUCUGGAAAAUAUUUUGCAUGAUUUGCAGCUUCAGAAAAUCUGUCAGAGCAUUAGACUAAAGGAGCAAGGAAAGAAAAUGAGUGAGAGAGACAGAAGAGGGAAACUAGAAUUAUGGACUAGUCAAGAAUAUGUAAAUUGGAUACAUAGGUAAAGACUUAGUCAAAGCUGUAUGGUAUUCAUUUUAAUUCCAGGGACCUUCCUGACAUGACCCCCCAUUUUAUGGAAGGCAUUAUAACUAGGGAAACACACACAUGUGCAGACGCAAACAUACAGGUGAAGUGAGUAGUAUUAGGAUCAGUUCCACCUUAAGGGAGAAUCUGAAGAGGGAAGCAUCAGGAGGAUGGGUCUUGGAAAAGAUUGACAUCCAGAAUGGGAGGAUAAGGUCUUAUACAUGUAAAGGUGAUCUUGAUACUUAGUGUCAUAGUUACUCUGUUUCAUCAAUGAAAGUCAUAUGUUACAUGUUGCUAAACCAUGCUGUUUCUGGUGUUACUGCUUGGGGAAAAAUUUUGUUUAAAAAGGAUAAAUAAGGACUAUCACUUCCCCAAAACUUGAAUGUUCAUAGCUUAUUGCAUUGCCUACCGAUUCAGUGCAAUCUGGGGUCACAGAUGGAAGAGUGCAUUAAGAGAAGUUAAUGAAUUCAAGAUAGAUUUGAAAGGUACAUUUCUAGAGAUAGGGAAGGGAAAAAAUAACACUAAUUUUUAAUUGUGUAAAUCAAUAUAGUCUAACUGGGUAAAGACAUCACAAAGGAUUCUUUGCUGACAUGUUUGUCUGACUUCAGGUUGGUGGAGCAUCUGCCACCUGCAGCACAGCACGUCCCUGGUUGAUGUAGCAGUGCAAGAGACAGCUGGGAUGUUUCAUGCUGCUUCUCCCUUGCUUUUGCCAGGAUUUGACACUCCUCUUGCUUGCUUACAUCCUUUGAUCAGAGUCAUUUUCAAGAACUCGCUUAACAGCAAAGUGGAAAUGUAAGACAAAAGAUAGACAUUUUUGUAAGCCCUGUGGUCUCCAUUUUGGUGCUAUACUCCUUUUUUUGUCACGUGCUUUAAAAAUCCCAUAUUUUAAAUUCACUUUGCCGUAUGUUUUCUUUUAAGCAAAGAGCUUUGAAAAUGUUCUGAUAAAGUAUAUUUAAUUGACUUCAAGAGUGACAUAAAUGAAUAAAACUCAAGGCAAAGUUCCCACUGUGGCUCAGUAAUAAAAAACCCAACUAGUAUCCAUGAGGAUGCAGGUUUAAUCCCUGGCCUCACUCCGUGGAUCAAGGAUCCAGCAUUGCUGUGAGUUGUGAUAUAGGUCGCAAAUGCAGCUCAGAUCUUGGAUCCCAUAUUGCUGUGGCUGUGGCAUAGGCCAGCAGCUCUAGCUCCAAUUCAACCCCUAACCUGGGAACUUCCAUAUGGCAUGGGUGUGGCCCUAAAAAAACGAAAAAUCAACAAAACAGUGGGUCAUUAUCAUCCAAAAAAACUAACAUUUUUUUCUGAUAUAUUUAAGAAUUAGGAUACUGGACAAAUUGUAAAAAUAUUAAUAGAAUGUGUAUUUCUUAUUUUUGAAAUAUUAGAAAUAUUAUUUUAAAGAAUUCAUUUAAAAUUAUAAAAUUACACAGACAGACAUAGUUUCCAAGGCAUCCUACCAUAGUAAUAAACUCCUAAAAAUAAUAACCUGGGCCUUUAAUACAGAAAUAAAUCCACACAUAAUUUACAUGUUCAGCUCUGGGAAACAUCUUGAUUUUAUUAAUAAACUAAACAAAUUAUUGAUUCAUAAUUCUAUAUUAAGACAUAUGAGAAAAAAACAAAUAGAUGCCAAAUAGAAAACAGACAAACAAACAAAAACUGUAAAUUCAAAUAAUUCCUUUUGGAAUUGAUAUUUAAUAUUGUCAAUAACUAUAGUGAAGGACACUUAGAGUGACAUAAAUCAUGUAUUUUCUUAAAAAGAUUUUAUUUUAUUUAUUUAUUUAAUUUUUUUUUUUGUCUUUUUGCUAUUUCUUUGGGCCGCUCCUGCGGCAUAUGGAAUUUCCCAGGCUAGGGGUCGAAUCGGAGCCACAGCCACUGGCCUACACCAGAGCCACAGCAACUCGGGAUCCGAGCCGCAUCUGCAACCUACACCACAGCUCACGGCAACGCUGGAUCAUUUAACCCACUGAGCAAGGGCAGGGAACGAACCCGCAACCUCAUGGUUCCUAGUCAGAUUCGUUAUCCACUGUGCCACAACGGGAACUCCUUCUUAAAAACAUUUUAAAUGCUAAUUAAAAUAUUGCAAAUGGACAUUAAAAUCACCACUAAUGAUAUUUAAGUUCAUGGUCAUAGGGCCACAGAAUAAAGCCACAGAUCAUGGAGUUUAUUGACUUGCUUUCUCACAGAGCUUCAGAGUCUAUUUCACGUCUUAGACAUAUAUCAAAGUCAGAUGCAGUAAAGUUUGUUAGCCUUCAGUUAAGGAGGAGAACAAAGUCCAAGGUAACAAUAGCAGGAGGUAGUCAUGGAACUGGAAAUCAUACUCAAUUGUACACAAUACGUAAGUGCUGCCUGCCUGGGUAACCACGACGAAGCAGGAAAUUACCACAUAAGAAAAUUCUUCAGUGCCUACAAAUGUGCAAUUGUCCAUAAGUUUACUCAGAAUGUUGUAUGCUUUUUCCUAUUGAGUAAAUGCAUUUUUAUUCCCCAUCAGGAAUUAGAACUGGAUUUUCCCAUUUGUAUAGCUUAAAUAGCAUUAUUUUUUAAAGUACAUCAAUGACAGAGACAAACCAGAUAGGCCACAUAAAUAGAAAACUAUUCCUUAGUAAUGAGCAAGCCCCAAUGGAGAAAAUCUUUAUGGAAAAUUGAAGGGAAAGAAAGCCUCAUAAGUGACAUAAUUCCAAAAAUUCACUAUUUUAUAUGAUCUUUGAAAAAUUUCAGGAAUAUUUUCGAGCUUUACAAUGAAUAACACUCAUGACUCAAUUAGUAUUCCACACUAGACUUGGUUGGAAUUCUCUGAUCAGAACUUGGUCAGUAGAAUUGAACUCACAGAGUCUAAGAAGGAAAAGACAGGGACGGAAGCAGAGAGAGACAGAUAGACAGACAGCUAUAAUGGUGAAAUAAAUCCAGUUAAAUAUUCCUAGGUAAAGGUUUCACUCCCCAUUCCUAAUUUGGGCAUAAAAUUGAGUGACUGUUGUUGGUAAAACAAGCAAGUAGCAUCCUUUAUAUAGAUCUAUCUUAAAUAGCUUCUCUCUAUCAAACCAGUCUACAUGUGAUUUAAACUUUAAAUUUUAAGGUCAAAAUAAUUUAAAAAGAAGUAAGUAUCAAUCUGUUGUUAUGUAUGUUUUUUUGUUUGUUUUUGACUAUGCCCAUGGCAUGUGGAAUUUCCCCUGCCAGGGACUGAACCCACUUCUCAGCAGUAACCAGAGCCAUAGCAGCAAUGCCAGAUCCUUAACCUGCUGAGCCACAAGGGAACUCCAGUUGAUAAGUAAUUUUACAAGGAUAACUAAAACACAUUCCAAAUCCCUAAGGUUAGAGCAACUUUUUGGCAGAGGCAGAUCCUUCAUAAGUCACUAUAACACACUAUAACAUGUCACUAUAAGUGACAUGCAUAUGCACUAUAUAUAGAGAGAGAGCAUAUAUUAUGUACACAUAAGUAUACAUGCACAUACAUAUAAUACAUAAAUAAAUGCAUGCAUAUUUCAUAAAUAUAUAGAUUUGUACAUGAGAAUAAAGCAAAAUUUGAGACAAGAAACAGCUAUUUUUGCCAAGAAUUGGAGUGGACUUGCGUAUCUAUGCCUGGGUGUGUUUAGAUGAGCAUACUUGAGUUGUGAAGGGCAGGUGUCAAACAAGAGAGGGUUUUAAGGUAUUUGUAAAGUAGAUAAGAGGGUAUUUAUAAAGUAGAUUCUGAAAUUGAAGUGAGAUUUCCACUGGUGUUAAAGAAGAAACAGUUGAGCCUGAGGAAACAGUCUGCGGGAAGACAGUUACAUGAAGCAGAAAUCAGAACAGUGAGCUCUGGUCAGAUCACUGUGUGAGAAGGUUGAAGGUCACUUGAAAGUGGACUCUAAUGUACCUGGAAUUACAUUUCAUUACUGCUACAUAAUGUAUGUAUGCUACAUUUAUGGAUAUGGAAUCAAAGGGAAAUAGUUUCUAUGCGAGAUGGUCAGUGUGAGCAGAUCUUGCUGGUAGUUAAAGGGCAGGAGGAACGAGGGGCAUUACACUGGGCAGUUAGGGGGUUACUGGAAAGUCAAGAGAUGUGAUGGGGAGAAAGUAAACACUAUCAAAAGUUUAGAUAGGCGCGUCUACAGAAUUGUAAGUGUCAUCUAAGUAGUGCACAUGGUUGAAAAAAGUUACUUUAAGAAUUGUUAAAUUUACAAAAUAAUUUGCUUGCCACCAGAUUGAAUAUGUUUACUUUAAAAAGAAAGCUUAAGUUACGAUGCAUUAGCGUGACAUCUGCAUUCUGUGAGGUUUAAGGUUUAUGCAAUACUGAAAGAGACAUAAUUAUAAUGAACUCCGUUUCUUUUUUAAAAAAUUAUUGUGGUAUAGUCAAUUUAUAAUUUAUUUUUAUACAAAUGCGUCCAUGUAGUUUUCAGGAAGGAAGCCUUCUUGGAAGAGUUCUUCACUUUACCAGAAAUGUAAAAAUGAUAUUUCUUUGAGAAAUGGAAUCUCAUUAUUUUCCUGUUAGCAAGUAGUUUUUCUUUCUUUUCUUUCUUUCUUUCUUUCUUUCUUUCUUUCUUUCUUUCUUUCUUUCUUUCUUUCUUUCUUUCUUUCUUUCUUAAGCAAAAUCCCAAGUGUCUGGUAAUAUUGUAUGACGAAUGGCAAGAUGUGAUAUGGCAAGGAGGAAGUUUUGGAAGUAGCUAAAACCAGUAGGGAAACAGACAAGUAAGUGUGAUUGAUGCCAAUUUUCUAGGACCUGGGAGGCAUACAAGUGCUUCUAUCAUCCCCUCACCCACAAAGAGCUCGGCACACACCCUCUGAACCACAUGAUGGGCUCCUCUUUGGAGUUAUCACUAAGGGCAAAUUAACAUCUCUUUCAUUACGUUAGCCUCUUCAAUUUUAUAGUUUGUGGCAUAAUAAGAAUGAUUAUUUGGAGGAGAAAAAAAGUAAGUGAAUGUGUUAAACAAGUUGAGGAGAGGUUUAUGACAGACAAAAGCAAAUGCAAAACAAAAGUGUGACAGUACAAUCUACACAGUUUAAAGAAAAUAAGGCAAAACUAUUCAGUAGAGGGUAUGUGAACCAUGUAGGAAAUAUUAUCUAAUUUAUACCUUUAAUUACUUUCUGGACCAAAAUUUUCAGAAUUUAAUAAUCAUCACAAAAUUAUCAUUCUAAACAUCUUCUCAGUGGUGAAUUUGAACACUAUUUUCUCAUUUUUCUCUUGUGGGAAAUGUAAAUAACCAGCUGGAUACCAGUCCCAGAACGAUUUAUGCUUCAAGCCUGAGAUGAUUAAGUCAUCAUUCUGCCAUCUUUAACUUUGAUAAUGAAAGCUGGGCAAUAUCAAAUCUUUAGAAAUUUAUCCAAUUCUCUACUUUAUAAAACUGCAAAUGUAAUGAAUUCUAUCUAAAAUAAACUUAAAGUGCACUUUAAAAUAUAAUUGUAUGUGCAAUUUAAAAUAACAGGCUCUUUUUUCCUUUAAAUGAAGGCUUAUAUUGAGCCUUCUUUUAUAGUUUUUGGAAUUCUUAGUUUCAGAUAUUUCAGAUAGUGACGUCCGAAUAGAAAGAUUUAUUUUGAACCUUUAGUUUCAUCUCAUUAAAAUUUGUGCUAGAACCCUUUGAGGAGUUCUCUUGUGGUGCAAUGUGUUAAGGAUCCAGCAUUGCCACUGCAGUAGCUUGCAUUGCUGCUGUGUCACAGGUUCAAUUCCUGGGCCAGGGAUUUCCAUAUGCCAUGGGCAAGGCCAAAAUAAAAUAAUAGUAAGCAAAAA